GCUGGAGUGGCGGAACUGGCAGACGCACGGGACUCAAAAUCCCGCGCCCUUCACUGGGCAUGAGGGUUCGACCCCCUCCUCCAGCACCA
rnacentral:tRNA from 2 species